GAUGAACGCUGGUGGCGUGCCUAACACAUGCAAGUCGAGCGAUUCUCUUCGGAGAAGAGCGGCUUACGGGUGAGUAACGCGUGGGUAACCUGCCCUGUACACACGGAUAACAUACCGAAAGGUAUGCUAAUACGAGAUAACAUCCUUUUAUCGCAUCGUAGAAGUAUCAAAGCUUUUGCGGUACAGGAUGGACCCGCGUCUGAUUAGCUAGUUGGCGAGUUAACGGCUCACCAAGGCGACGAUCAGUAGCCGACCGGAGAGGAUGAUCGGCCACACUGGAACUGAGACACGGUCCAAAAUCCUACGGGAGGCAGCAGUGGGGAAUAUUGGACAAUGGGCGCAAGCCUGAUCCAGCCAUACCGCGUGGGUGAAGAAGGCCUUCGGGUUGUAAAGCCCGUUUGUUGGGAAAGAAAAGCAGCAGGUUAAUACCCCGCUGUUCUGACGGUACCCAAAGAAUAAGCACCGGCUAACUUCGUG
rnacentral:rRNA from 1 species